UGGGGAAUAUUGGACAAUGGGGGAAACCCUGAUCCAGCCAUCCCGCGUGUGCGAUGAAGGCCUUCGGGUUGUAAAGCACUUUUGGCAGGGACGAAACGUCAUGGGUUAACACACUGAGCAACUGACGGUACCUGCCGAAUAAGCACCGGCUAACUACGUGCGCGCAGCCGCGGUAAUACGUAGGGUGCAAGCGUUAGUCGGAAUUACUGGGCGUAAAGCGUGCGCAGGCGGUUCGGUAAGAAAGAUGUGAAAUCCCAGGGCUUAACUUUGGAAUUGCAUUUUUAACUACCGGGCUAGAGUGAGUGAGAGGGAGGUGGAAUUCCGAGUGUAGCAGUGAAAUGCGUAGAUAUGCGGAGGAACACCGAUGGCGAAGGCAGCCACCUGGGAUAACACUGACGCUGAGGCACGAAAGCGUGGGGAGCAAACAGG
rnacentral:rRNA from 1 species